CCCAUUGGGAGCGAAGAAAUAGAAGGUUGUAAGCUUAAAGUUUCUUAUUGUCUGACACUAAGGUCAAACUCCAUGGGUACGUGGACGGUCAAGGUGUGUGGAUACGUGUGUGUUUUGAAAAUGCUGACUGAGAAUUUAUUUUGCAGUAAUUCGUUUGAAAUUGGUUUUCCUUGGGGAAAGUUCGUUUAUCUAACUAUCACUCUAGUUAUUUGGUCUAUUUUAUUAUGAACUUGACUGCGUGAAUACUAUCUUGACUGCUGUUUUAUAAGCUGAAUUAAUUAUGAGUUUGGUUGUGUGACUACAAACUUGGCUGUUUCAUUGUAAACCCCACUGAAUUAAUAGGAAUUUCGCGGAGUUAUAUUACGAGCACUACUAGUUUAUGUACUAUAAAAUUGGAAAGUAUAGAAAGUCACCACUUUAUAUUCUUAAGUGAAUUUGCUAUGAACGAGUUAUCUCUGCAUUCAUAAUUUGAUUCAAAUGAGCUGAUAAUGAAUUAAAAUGCUGGUCAUUUUAUUGCAUCCUAAGUAAAUAUUACACAAUACUAAAAAUGUUUUUAUCCCUCUCAUCACUUGCUAUUAUUUCAAGCGAUCUCAAACUUCAAUCCUUUACGGAUAUUCAUUACUGAAAAACCCCACCACUCAUCCUUAUGACAAGAUAGGUCGCAUUACGUCACCAAUGUAACUUAGAGCACUUUGGCUGGAAAUUUUGGGUGUUGAUUAUAACUACAUAGUUUUGAGUUUGAUUGUUAAUUUUCAAUGUUGUCAAGGUAUACCUGGUCCAGAGUAUAUAGAUAUAGAUGGUGUUACAGUCAUAGCUAUAGGCCAUGAAAAAUCUGCUUCUGUUAAAGACUUUGGUAAUGCAAUGAUGUAUACAGAUGAGUAUUUUUGCCCAGAACUAAAUUGCACUUUCAGUACUUCAUCCUAUAGAAUGUACAAGAAUCAUAUUUCUGUUCAUUUUGAGGAUCGUCCAUUUUUGUGUACUGUUUGCAGUCGUUCCUUCAAACGUAAAGAUGGCUUAAAACAGCAUAUGGUUCUUCAUUCUGGGGAGAAGCCAUAUAGUUGUCGUCAUUGUCCUAUGAAAUUUGCACACAGGAGUGCUCGUAUUAAGCACCAACUGAUACAUUAUAAUCAGUAAAAUCGAAUUUUGGAAUGUGUUUCUUUAAAAUACUGUUAUUGUACUGGUUCACUUAAAAAAAGCUUUGCUUAAUAUCGAUUGAAAUAUGUUAAACCUGAGUAUUACACAAAAUCUUUAUUGCAAAACUAUACAAAUAACAAAAAAUGGGAAAUAAUAAAAAUUUAUUGUUGCUCAUAAGUGGAAAAUAUAAACAUUGUUAUGAUAUUAAAGCUCAGUGAGACCUAAAAAGAAAAAUGAAAACCCAAAGUACAUUGACAAUUUGGCUUUAGGGAAUUUCAGUAAGAUACGAUUUGAAUGCUUACUUUGUCCCUUUUCAUCUGAGCAUUAUGCUGAAAUAAGGAAGCAUACUGUAAUACAUAAUCAGUUUACUUGCAGUUACUGUGGAAGAUCAUUUAGCCGCAAAGAGAGUUUGCAAACUCAUAUGAAUCGUCACACCGGUGAUCAACCAUUUGAAUGUGGCUUAUGCCCUAUGAGAUUUUCUCAUCGCUACACUCGUUAUAUUCAUCAUCGUAAGAGUCAUAAAGAUGUAUGAUUAUAUGUACCUGAAAAAUGUUAUAUUUCUCUGUACUUUGAAUGGGAACGGAAUUUUUUUCUCGACAUCACACGAAGUAUAUUUACUAUUUAUGUUUUGUUAUUCAAAAUUUCAUUAAAAGAACUUUUACUCAGAUAAUUGUUAUUUCUUUGGUUUGUGUUAUGCUGUUAUUCUGUAUUUAAAAGAUAAUUAAGUUUGUAUUAAAGACGCAGAGUAUUUGUAUUCAAACCCUUUGUUUUAUUAAACACUUACUUGCCUGUCUUUUGUUUGUCAAUAUUUCUUUCAUUCUAGUUUUAGUAAUUAAACCAUGUACCCUGUUGAUGUAUGUCAUCCUUUGCUGUGUUUAAUUAAUGUGUGUUUGAAAUGUAUUCUUUCUAUUACAAUUUUUAAUGUAAAUUUAAAAAAAAAGCUUAAUAUUUCUUAUCAAACAAUUUUCUUAAAAAUUCUGUCUUUAAUUUUUUUAGAUUUAUUAAUUAGAAUAUUAAUUUCUCAAAAUGCUCUUUACUUAACAAUUGUUUCAAAUAUUUGCAGUUUAGUAAUAGUAUGUUUUUGAAAAUGUAAGCUUUUUGUAUAAACUAUUUUUGGUUCUUAAUCACAAAUACAAUAUUAGAUGGCUAACUAUAGGACCCUGUAAAUAAAUUGUUACAUUAAGUUUUUAAACUUGUCCAGUUUCAUGCAAAAUAUUUCUUUUAUCUGUAAUUUACUUACUUUUGUAUUAUUAAAUCUGCAGAUUAAAGCCUUCAUUUACUGAAAUUUUGUUUUUACAAAAUUUCAUAUUUUUUUCCAAAUAUAUAUUUAAUGAAAUGAAUAGGGAAAACAUGUUUGUGAAUCUCAUUGAAAUGUUCCUGAAAUAAUUAGGGAUUUUUAUUUCUAAAUUUGAGUGGAAACCCUGAUUGUGCUUUUACAUUAAAAUAUGCUUUAAAUUUUAAGCAUAACAUAUUUAAAAUUUGUAUUUUUAAACUUCUUUUGGAAAGAAAUUAAUCUAGUCAUACCUAGUCUUUGUUUUAUCGGUUUAUGAAUGGCGACCUUUAUUUUUUAAUGUAUUAAUAAAAAUUAUGUUUUGAAAAAAAAGUUCAUUGGUACACUUUUUCAUUAGAAGCUGCAAUUGUAUAUCGAAGAAAAACCUGUAUGAAUUAAAUUAAUAACCUCCAGAAAAACUCUUGAGAUUUUUUUCUUGACUCUACUCUAAAUUGUUUCUAUAGUAUAUGUUAGACUUUUUUUUUCUAAAUGCAAUUUAUUUUUACAGGAAUCUAUGAAACUUCUCAUCUUUCAAAAGCUAAGUACUUUGGCUGCCAACUUUGUUCAUAUGUGUCACCUUUUAGGUGGUGCCUCAAAAGGCACUUACUGACACAUACUGGAGAACGUCCACAUGCUUGUCAUAUAUGCAAUCAAAGGUUUGCGCUGAAAGAAAAUCUUAAAAAACACUAUGUGGUGCAUUUUAAAAAUUAGUGGUAAAACAUAUUUAAAUGUACAUCAUAACCCAAAUGACUGAGUUAUUAUUAAGACUUAUCAAUUAGCUUAAGUCUUAUGUUAUUAAGUUUUAAAAAUUGCUAUUCAUUUCUUUUGUUUUAAACAAUUAUGUUAUCGAUUAUAAGAAACAGGUAUCAGUGCCUAGACAAUGAUUGCCUACUUUUUUUUUUUUUUUUUUUACAGAUACUGACACUUGUUUAUUACAUAUAGUUCUAUGUUCCUAUUUUUAAUUUUUUCCUCUAUCUUGCUUUCUGAAUGGUUUUGAGGUCUGUUAUCAUUCCUGCACAUUCUUCCUACUUACAAUAUUCUAAGUAAUCUUGUCAAUCAGAACAAUUAUUGAUAUCUGUUUUUUUUAUUUUGCAUUGAAUGUCUUUUUGCUAUUUGUAAAAAUUAACAUAAAACUUGCUUUAGUUACUUCAGGAACAAAAUUGUUGAACAAAAGUUACAUUUUAACACUAUCACAGUGUGAUUAGAACUUGUCAUUAUUAAAAGGAUUUACACCUUUUUGAAAGUUAAACCAUUCGAAUUUUUCGUACACAGCCUCACAAUUUAUAAGAAUAGUUAACAAAUAUGAAAUUAUUAAAAAAAAAAAAAGCUUCACAAAUAUUUCACACACCAGUUUUUUUUUUUUUUAAAUGCAAAACACUUUCUAUGGAGUGUAAAUUUAUACAGAUUUUUAUAUCCCUUUUUACUUUCGUUAGUUCAAUUUAAGUGUGUUACUUUCAGUAAUCCACACAAUUAUAUAUAUUUCUGGAAGGAAUGACGAGCUGUUUUCUUAUAACAAAGUGUUCGACACUUUCCUGAAAUUCACUAAACACUUCCCCAAUUUCAAAAAAUAUAUUGAAUAGUGUAGCAGUAAUACUGUAAAUUAGAUUUUUAAAAGAUAAUUUAUACAAGAUGAAUUUGUUUCAAUGAGUGUUACAAUGCAUAUCAUUUUAAAUUUGAAGAAAUAUUGUAUUUAGGCUUGAUUAAUGUAUAUCCUCCAUAACUGAAUAAUUGGCUUAUUUAACUUAAGUUAAUUGGAAUUAAUGGUAUUUCUUUCAGUGGGGCUGACUGUCUUAUUUUUGCUAAUAUUUCUGACAUAGAUUAGCUUUAUAAUUUUGAAUUGUAUAUUUUACAGGUUACCAAUCAUUCUCUCCAAGAAAAUGUCCUGCUAAGCCUCCUCCACUCUAUUGCCGCUUUUGUUCUUAUUCAACUUGUAUUAAAACUAACUUAAAAAAACAUGAGUAUAUACAUACUGGUGAAAAACCCUAUGGAUGUCAUUAUUGCACUCGCCGAUUUUCUCAAAAGGAAAAUCUAAAGAAACAUAUACUUGUUCAUGUUAAGUUACAUUUAAAUUAAUUUUUGAAAAAUUUAUCUUUUUUGAAACACUUUAAACUUGUUAACGCAUUUUUAUUUCUUAAAAAGUCAAGUAUUUUCGAAAUUGCUGUUUUUCUGCAAUAAAAACUUUUGAUACAAACUUGAAAGGAAUUUAUCUUAUUCGGAGGUAAAAUUUUAAUGUUUUAAUCUGCAAGAAAUGUUUCACCUUUUUCAAAAAUAAAAUAAAGCAAUUUCUUCUUUUAGGCAAUCUAAGUCUUUUUUUUUUUCAAUUUAUUCUUUUAAAAAAAAAUUAAGUUUCUAAAUUGGCAAAGCAAAAUUUCAUUUAAAAUUAACACACAAACCUAGCUCCUUUUUAAACAGGAUUUUAAACUACCUCAUGAGUAAUCUAAAACUUAGACUUCGACAACCUGUUCCAAGAAAUGCAGUAACACCCCUCUUGACUUGUAUUCGAACAUAUCCGAAGGGAAUACUUCCAAAUUUAUUCAAAAUAUUUUACUUAAAUUGUGAUUUUCCAUUGUUACUAACUGUAUGCAACCAUCCUAGUGUGAUAUUUUGGUUUAAAUUGCAUCAAAGCAAAUCCUAUGCAUUUCACAAAAUAAAGUGUGCAAUUUUUAAAUAGAUGUUAAAUUAAAAAAACAAAGAAAUCACGCAACUGAAAUGGAUCCACUUUGUAAUAUAGUCUCUAAAGCUCAUGUUAGAAAUUUAAUAAUUGUUUGUUGUUUAAUAAUAAUCUUUGUUAUGCCUGGCUUUUUGUUUUACUCUGACAAGAGCAAUCGAAGGAGAAAUUAUUGAACUUUUUCAGUUUACGAUAAUAGUAAUCUAUUUUUAUAAAUUUUAUUAAUAUAUGUUAUACAUCAACUGAGUAUGUUAUGUAAUGUAUGCUUAAAGCAUUCCUGAUUAGCUGACUAAUCCAAUUUUGAAAAAUAGCUCUUGCCCUAUAGGUAUUAGAUAAUAAGGGCUUAAGCAUAAUAAAAGAAAAGUAAUUAAAAGCUGGAAAAGAUAGUUUUUUUAAGGGCAAGUAUUGAACAGAGAAGAAGAUUCUUAUAUGUUAGUUUUUUCACAAAGUGUAAGACUUUAAAUUUUUUUAUGUAAAGAUUGCUUUUGCUUUUAUGUAGCAAUAAUUUUUUUGCUGAAUAUGAAGCUUAUGUAUACCGCCUGUAAUGGCUCAUUAGUUUUAGGCUGAAAGCAUCAAUCUGCAAAUCACAGAAAUGACAAAUUCAUGGUUUUGGUGAAUUCCAAACAAUAUGUCAGGGAAACUUGACUUGAAGUUUAACAUCAUUGUUUAGUUAAAUGCUAUCCUUAUUCAGACUUUAACAUCAUUUUGGGAACAUUAACAAUCAAGUUAUAGCUUUCAAAUAUUACUUUACAAUGUAUGUAGUACUAGAAAAAUAUUAGUUAUUAUAUUUUAAAAAUUAAUUGUAAAGGGAUGUGUUAGAACUCUUCAUGAGUUGUAUAUUCAUAAUAAAACAAUUUGGAUUUGGUCAA